rnacentral:rRNA from 1 species
CGGUGCCGGCAGCUUACCAUGCAAGUCGAGCGGUAACAGAGAUAGCUUGCUAUCUGCUGACGAGCGGCGGACGGGUGAGUAAUGCUUGGGAAUAUGCCUUAUGGUGGGGGACAACAGUUGGAAACGACUGCUAAUACCGCAUAACGUCUACGGACCAAAGGGGGGGAUGCUUCGGCACCUCCCGCCAUUUGAUUAGCCCAAGUGAGAUUAGCUAGUAGGUGAGGUAAGAGCUCACCUAGGCGACGAUCUCUAGCUGGUUUGAGAGGAUGAUCAGCCACACUGGGACUGAGACACGGCCCAGACUCCUACGGGAGGCAGCAGUGGGGAAUAUUGCACAAUGGGCGAAAGCCUGAUGCAGCCAUGCCGCGUGUGUGAAGAAGGCCUUCGGGUUGUAAAGCACUUUCAGCGAGGAGGAAAGGUUAGUGGUUAAUAGCCACUAGCUGUGACGUUACUCGCAGAAGAAGCACCGGCUAACUUCGUGCCAGCAGCCGCGGUAAC